ACAAACCUUAGUUUACAUGCAUAAAUAACGAAAGCAUCCCCAGAUCUACCAAAACCAGAUCACCAACAUUCAAACAAUCAUAAAGAUCAGCUAACUGAACCAUAUAAACUAUCUAAGCUAUAUCAACAGGACAGUAAGGGUAGAAACUAAACCGAAUAACCUGAGUCGGAAGCUCUAGCGACCACUACGAACGUGUCUCACGUCUCGUCUCAACUCUCACCGCCGGCGAUACCUGAAAAAUAGUGGGGGAGGUGAGAACAUGUAAACAUGUCUCCCCUCCCAGUGGGUACCGCAAGCCGAUGAAGGCGAGGAGUACUCACCGGAUCAGGAAGAGCUAAACAACAGUACGGGUCAGUAGAAAUACAGUAGCAAUAAUAGUGAAUGAAAGAGACAUAUAUACGAAAGAAGUACAACUACCGCUACUGUAAUGGACAACUGAAUGUAUACAUGUAACAAGACUAUGUAAUGAAAGAACUGAAGGUAUACAAGCAACAACCGCUACUAUAGUUAUAUGCAUCAACCGGACAAGAAGUCCAAAUAUACCCAAUCUAGUACCUGCUAUAUUGGUCCGCAGACCUCAAGCGCUGCCUGUCACUAACCUGCACCGACCUGAUUCACCCGCCCCACAGGACGACCCAUCCGGAUAAGUACACCUCCGAUCGGUGGCCAAACCGAUCCGGUGUCGUGAAUACCCCCAAGUGCUGUGACUAAGUCAUGAUGGUAUGCUCAAUACAAAAACCGGCUGAAACCGGUGCCUAGGCCGAAGCCAGAAACAAGGACGUACAACGCCGAACCUCGAUCAACCAGAUCGAAACACAUGACGAGAGAGUCAAUGUGUUACCUGGACCCAAGGUCCACAGAGUCCAACCGACCAGCAAGGUCACUGAUACGAAGUACGAGAACUGACCAACCAGGUCAACAGAUACGGAAUGCACAACCAACCAACUAGGUCAACAGAUACUGAAUGCAACAACAGACCAACUAGGUCAACAGAUACUGAAUGCAACAACAGACCAACUAGGUCAACAGAUACAGAAUGCAACAACAGACCAACUAGGUCAACAGAUACAGAAUGCAACAACAGACCAACUAGGUCAACAGAUACGCAUGUAGAUAGAACUACUCUACUCCUACUCAGGAUACUAAGCAUGCAAACAACGAGUAGAGUAUAACGAAUAAACAAGGGUGCAAGGCUCAAUAUACUAUGCGAUAGUAACAACAGAAGAGUAAGGGUAAGAAACCAUCACCAAGCGUGCACCACUGUACCGACGUCGGAUCGAAGUACCCACCUGUAAGGAUGUCGCGUCUGUCUCCUGACUGCAAAAGAAUGUCGACAGGACCUAUAGAGGGUCCACCGGGUUAGUAUCUAACCCACAACUAAUAAUCACAGUAUCCACAACCCCACAAACGAUUCCACGAAGAUCGGUUUCCCAAUACCGAUUACCGUAACUCGCCGGAAGUCCCGAAAACCACACCGGGACGCCGUCGGGACCCACUAAGUGUCCCGAAACUCACCGACUCGUGUCACGAGUCACCUGCUGCCCCAAAACACUCCAAUUUGGAUGUUUUGGCAGCAAACACAAGAUAACACCCCUACACAAUUAUCGCCGGAUAAUUGUACGAAUCCGGGUUCCCGAAAGUGUCUAUUUCGACACCGGAACCCACCGUCGCUCACCCAUCAUCACCGAACCCAC
rnacentral:lncRNA from 1 species